UACGGAGGGUGCGAGCGUUGUCCGGAAUCAUUGGGCGUAAAGAGCUCGUAGGCGGCUUGUCACGUCGGGUGUGAAAGCCCGGGGCUUAACCCCGGGUCUGCAUUCGAUACGGGCUAGCUAGAGUGUGGUAGGGGAGAUCGGAAUUCCUGGUGUAGCGGUGAAAUGCGCAGAUAUCAGGAGGAACACCAAUGGCGAAGGCAGCUCACUGGGACGGUAUUGACGCUGAGACGCGAAAGCGUGGGGAGCAAACAGG
rnacentral:rRNA from 1 species